AAAUUGAAGAGUUUGAUCAUGGCUCAGAUUGAACGCUGGCGGCAGGCCUAACACAUGCAAGUCGAACGGUAACAGGAAACAGCUUGCUGUUUCGCUGACGAGUGGCGGACGGGUGAGUAAUGUCUGGGAAACUGCCUGAUGGAGGGGGAUAACUACUGGAAACGGUAGCUAAUACCGCAUAAUGUCGCAAGACCAAAGAGGGGGACCUUCGGGCCUCUUGCCAUCGGAUGUGCCCAGAUGGGAUUAGCUUGUAGGUGGGGUAACGGCUCACCUAGGCGACGAUCCCUAGCUGGUCUGAGAGGAUGACCAGCCACACUGGAACUGAGACACGGUCCAGACUCCUACGGGAGGCAGCAGUGGGGAAUAUUGCACAAUGGGCGCAAGCCUGAUGCAGCCAUGCCGCGUGUAUGAAGAAGGCCUUCGGGUUGUAAAGUACUUUCAGCGGGGAGGAAGGGAGUAAAGUUAAUACCUUUGCUCAUUGACGUUACCCGCAGAAGAAGCACCGGCUAACUCCGUGCCAGCAGCCGCGGUAAUACGGAGGGUGCAAGCGUUAAUCGGAAUUACUGGGCGUAAAGCGCACGCAGGCGGUUUGUUAAGUCAGAUGUGAAAUCCCCGGGCUCAACCUGGGAACUGCAUCUGAUACUGGCAAGCUUGAGUCUCGUAGAGGGGGGUAGAAUUCCAGGUGUAGCGGUGAAAUGCGUAGAGAUCUGGAGGAAUACCGGUGGCGAAGGCGGCCCCCUGGACGAAGACUGACGCUCAGGUGCGAAAGCGUGGGGAGCAAACAGGAUUAGAUACCCUGGUAGUCCACGCCGUAAACGAUGUCGACUUGGAGGUUGUGCCCUUGAGGCGUGGCUUCCGGAGCUAACGCGUUAAGUCGACCGCCUGGGGAGUACGGCCGCAAGGUUAAAACUCAAAUGAAUUGACGGGGGCCCGCACAAGCGGUGGAGCAUGUGGUUUAAUUCGAUGCAACGCGAAGAACCUUACCUGGUCUUGACAUCCACGGAAGUUUUCAGAGAUGAGAAUGUGCCUUCGGGAACCGUGAGACAGGUGCUGCAUGGCUGUCGUCAGCUCGUGUUGUGAAAUGUUGGGUUAAGUCCCGCAACGAGCGCAACCCUUAUCCUUUGUUGCCAGCGGUCCGGCCGGGAACUCAAAGGAGACUGCCAGUGAUAAACUGGAGGAAGGUGGGGAUGACGUCAAGUCAUCAUGGCCCUUACGACCAGGGCUACACACGUGCUACAAUGGCGCAUACAAAGAGAAGCGACCUCGCGAGAGCAAGCGGACCUCAUAAAGUGCGUCGUAGUCCGGAUUGGAGUCUGCAACUCGACUCCAUGAAGUCGGAAUCGCUAGUAAUCGUGGAUCAGAAUGCCACGGUGAAUACGUUCCCGGGCCUUGUACACACCGCCCGUCACACCAUGGGAGUGGGUUGCAAAAGAAGUAGGUAGCUUAACCUUCGGGAGGGCGCUUACCACUUUGUGAUUCAUGACUGGGGUGAAGUCGUAACAAGGUAACCGUAGGGGAACCUGCGGUUGGAUCACCUCCUUACCUUAAAGAA
rnacentral:rRNA from 1 species